rnacentral:lncRNA from 1 species
CUAGGAGAAGAUGAGAAAUCUAGUCCUUAAUUCCCGCGGAAAAGACGAGGAUGACCAGGAUAGAAAUCUUGAGAAGAGAACAAGAGUGUUACGUUCCCUUCCACAAACAAUUCCUCUAUAUAUAACUAAGAAAUUCUAGACUCAACUUCGACCAGUUUGGCUUAGUAAUCCUACAGUCAGUCAGGCUCUGAUACCAACGCGGUCGGGACC